AACGAACGCUGGCGGCAGGCCUAACACAUGCAAGUCGAGCGCCCCGCAAGGGGAGCGGCGGACGGGUGAGUAACGCGUGGGAACGUGCCCUUUGCUACGGAAUAGCCCCGGGAAACUGGGAGUAAUACCGUAUAAGCCCUACGGGGGAAAGAUUUAUCGGCAAAGGAUCGGCCCGCGUUGGAUUAGGUAGUUAGUGGGGUAAUGGCCUACCAAGCCGACGAUCCAUAGCUGGUUUGAGAGGAUGAUCAGCCACACUGGGACUGAGACACGGCCCAGACUCCUACGGGAGGCAGAAGUGGGGAAUCUUAGACAAUGGGCGCAAGCCUGAUCUAGCCAUGCCGCGUGAGCGAUGAAGGCCUUAGGGUUGUAAAGCUCUUUCGUGGGGGAAGAUAAUGACUGUACCCCAAGAAGAAGCCCCGGCUAACUCCGUGCCAGCCGCCGCGGCAAUAC
rnacentral:rRNA from 1 species